rnacentral:rRNA from 1 species
UGGGGAAUAUUGCACAAUGGGGGAAACCCUGAUGCAGCGACGCCGCGUUAACGAAGAAGGUAUUCGUAUCGUAAAGUUCUGUCCUAUGGGAAGAUAAUGACAGUACCAUAGAAGAAAGCUCCGGCUAAAUACGUGCCAGCAGCCGCGGUAAUACGUAUGGAGCGAGCGUUGUCCGGAAUUAUUGGGCGUAAAGGGUACGCAGGCGGUUUAAUAAGUCGAAUGUUAAAGAUCGGGGCUCAACCCCGCAAAGCAUUGGAAACUGAUAAACUUGAGUAGUGGAGAGGAAAGUGGAAUUCCUAGUGUAGUGGUGAAAUACGUAGAUAUUAGGAGGAAUACCAGUAGCGAAGGCGACUUUCUGGACACAAACUGACGCUGAGGUACGAAAGCGUGGGGAGCAAACAGG